rnacentral:rRNA from 1 species
GUCUGUGAGGGCUGCUGGAGGUAUCAGAAGUGCGAAUGCUGACAUAAGUAACGAUAAUGCGGGUGAAAAACCCGCACGCCGGAAGACCAAGGGUUCCUGUCCAACGUUAAUCGGGGCAGGGUGAGUCGACCCCUAAGGCGAGGCUGAAAAGCGUAGUCGAUGGGAAACAGGUUAAUAUUCCUGUACUUGGUGUUACUGCGAAGGGGGGACGGAGAAGGCUAGGCUAGCCGGGCGACGGUUGUCCCGGUUUAAGCAUGUAGGCGGAGUGACCAGGUAAAUCCGGUUGCUUAUCAACGCUGAGGUGUGAUGACGAGUCACUACGGUGAUGAAGUAGUUGAUGCCAUGCUUCCAGGAAAAGCCUCUAAGCAUCAGGUAACAUGAAAUCGUACCCCAAACCGACACAGGUGGUCAGGUAGAGAAUACUCAGGCGCUUGAGAGAACUCGGGUGAAGGAACUAGGCAAAAUGGUGCCGUAACUUCGGGAGAAGGCACGCUGGCAUUAGGUAAAGGGACUUGCUCCCGGCGCCGAAGCCAGUCGCAGAUACCAGCUGGCUGCAACUGUUUAAUAAAAACACAGCACUGUGCAAACACGAAAGUGGACGUAUACGGUGUGACGCCUGCCCGGUGCUGGAAGGUUAAUUGAUGGGGUCAGCCGCAAGGCGAAGCUCUUGAUCGAAGCCCCAGUAAACGGCGGCCGUAACUAUAACGGUCCUAAGGUAGCGAAAUUCCUUGUCGGGUAAGUUCCGACCUGCACGAAUGGCGUAAUGAUGGCCAGGCUGUCUCCACCCGAGACUCAGUGAAAUUGAACUCGCUGUGAAGAUGCAGUGUACCCGCGGCAAGACGGAAAGACCCCGUGAACCUUUACUAUAGCUUGACACUGAACAUUGAGCCUUGAUGUGUAGGAUAGGUGGGAGGCAUAGAAGUGUGGACGCCAGUCUGCAUGGAGCCAACCUUGAAAUACCACCCUUUAAUGUUUGAUGUUCUAACUCGGCCCCGUAAUCCGGGGUGAGGACAGUGUCUGGUGGGUAGUUUGACUGGGGCGGUCUCCUCCCAAAGAGUAACGGAGGAGCACGAAGGUUAGCUAAUCACGGUCGGACAUCGUGAGGUUAGUGCAAAGGCAUAAGCUAGCUUGACUGCGAGAGUGACGGCUCGAGCAGGUACGAAAGUAGGUCUUAGUGAUCCGGUGGUUCUGAAUGGAAGGGCCAUCGCUCAACGGAUAAAAGGUACUCCGGGGAUAACAGGCUGAUACCGCCCAAGAGUUCAUAUCGACGGCGGUGUUUGGCACCUCGAUGUCGGCUCAUCACAUCCUGGGGCUGAAGUAGGUCCCAAGGGUAUGGCUGUUCGCCAUUUAAAGUGGUACGCGAGCUGGGUUUAGAACGUCGUGAGACAGUUCGGUCCCUAUCUGCCGUGGGCGUUGGAAGAUUGAGAGGGGCUGCUCCUAGUACGAGAGGACCGGAGUGGACGAAUCACUGGUGUUCGGGUUGUCAUGCCAAUGGCAUUGCCCGGUAGCUAAAUUCGGAAGAGAUAACCGCUGAAAGCAUCUAAGCGGGAAACUUGCCUCGAGAUGAGUCUUCCCUGGGGCUUUAAGCCCCCUGAAGGAACGUUAAAGACGAUGACGUUGAUAGGCUGGGUGUGUAAGUGCAGCGAUGCAUUGAGCUAACCAGUACUAAUGAACCGUGAGGCUUAACCUU